GACGAACGCUGGCGGCGUGCUUAACACAUGCAAGUCGAACGGAAAGGCCCUGCUUUUGUGGGGUGCUCGAGUGGCGAACGGGUGAGUAACACGUGAGUAACCUGCCCUUGACUUUGGGAUAACUUCAGGAAACUGGGGCUAAUACCGGAUAGGAGCUCCUGCUGCAUGGUGGGGGUUGGAAAGUUUCGGCGGUUGGGGAUGGACUCGCGGCUUAUCAGCUUGUUGGUGGGGUAGUGGCUUACCAAGGCUUUGAUGGGUAGCCGACCUGAGAGGGGGACCGGCCACACUGGAAGUGAGACACGGGGCAGAGUCCUACGGGAGGCAGCAGUAGGGAAUCUUCGGCAAUGGGCGAAAGCCUGACGGAGCAACGCCGCGUGAGUGAUGAAGGUCUUCGGGUCGGAAAACUCUGUUAUUAGGGAAGAACAAAUGUGUAAGUAACUAUGCACGUCUUGACGGUACCUAAUCAGAAAGCCACGGCUAACUACGUG
rnacentral:rRNA from 1 species